AGGUAGGGUUUCACCUUAUCAGUUUCCUGAAAUGGAUUAACCUCCACUUUGAGUUUGAGCCAAGGCUUUGCGUCGGUCACGGGAACAAGAGACACCGUCCCUAGGCUUGUUAUAGUUUAGUGUAUAUGACUGGCGUGGAGUACUGUAUUGUAUGAGCGGCCACGUUUUGUACCCGUAGUUUUGUUACAGAAUACCCGGUAAAUAUGGCUCUUGACGAAGAGUUACAGAACCACUGGUUCAGGGUUGGUCUUUUCAUGUGUCUUGCAUCCGUGCGCGCACGUUGUAUGACGCCAACACUUUGUUGAAUGAAUGAGGCGUGGUCCAGAAAACCUCAAACACUAGCCUCCUAUCGACAAUUCGACAUGGCUUUCUCCUUGCCACGUGGAGACAGGCAGACUUAGCCCACCGCCAAGUCAGCCUCUGACAGUGCUUGGCCCUCGGGACCUCCGUACAUUGUACAAUAUGAAGAAGGGUCGGCCCUCCUUUUUAUCCAAAGGUGAGACCUUCGGGAUGUGUAAGACGCUCAGACUUGAUUCCCUUCUGUCGGGACCAGGUUGUGUAGACACGAAUACGACAAUGUAGUAUGCAGGAACAAAUUCUUAGCUAGAAUCCGCAGUCGACUCCGAUUCGCAUGGUUCUUCAACUCAAAAGUCCCAAAUUCUCUCUGUCGUAGCGUCGCUACUUUCUACAUCGUUCACCCGUAAACAGGCUUAUCCCUGCUCAGCCCUAUUUCAAACUGGGCCAACACUUUUUUUUUCCUCAACGGGGUGGAACCCCAAACCUGUCAUAUCAUGCGGUGAGGAAAGACCGUUAUUUCCUUCUACUCGUAGAACGCGUAAAAAUUCCCGGAUACAUAUGUCAUAGGGCUAUAUCAGCGGAAUCCUUUCUAUAUCAAAAGGAUUCUAGAAAAGAAUCGGAGUAUUAAAUGAGGAAAAUAUGAUCUCAUUUGUGAGACUUUAGCGAGAAAUCUGAAACACCCUUUGGAAAGGUCCACUGAGUCAUUGACGUUGAGAUCCACCGGCUGCGGAAGGAAUCUUGGAAGGAUUCGCUGAGUUUCGUACUAUAUUCGAAACCCUAUAGUUGUGCUUGAACAUAGCUUUCCGAUGUUGUGUCGUUGUUGUGUAUUGAGCAUGCAAAGGAUGCUAUGUACUUCGUACCUGGUAUGUGUAUCAUACUCGCGAGUCAAGGGAUAUUAUAUGAUACACUCGCUUCGUAUACACGCACCUAGGCGCACUGGUAACCAUCUCAGGUCCAACUCGCUUAUGCCAUCCACAACAUGAGAACCAUUGUCUCAUAGGGGAAAAAAAAAACGUUGAGCCGCAUCCGAGCACCCGAGGCAGUUUUGAACACAUACGUACGCCAAUUACAUACCGUUCUUUUACUCGUUCGACGUUUAAGUUAGCGACUACAAAGUUUGUACGUACAUAUAUGGGGAGGUCUUAUGAUAAUCAUAACUAUAUUACUCCGUAUAUUACAUACGUAGUACCAUUGUAUCGAUGCCACGUGAGU
rnacentral:lncRNA from 1 species